rnacentral:rRNA from 1 species
GGUCCUACGGGCGGCAGCAGUGGGGAAUAUUGGACAAUGGGCGCAAGCCUGAUCCAGCCAUGCCGCGUGUGUGAUGAAGGCCUUAGGGUUGUAAAGCACUUUCGCCGAUGAAGAUAAUGACUGUAGUCGGAGAAGAAGCCCCGGCUAACUUCGUGCCAGCAGCCGCGGUAAUACGAAGGGGGCUAGCGUUGUUCGGAAUUACUGGGCGUAAAGCGUACGUAGGCGGAUUGUUAAGUGAGGGGUGAAAUCCCGAGGCUCAACCUCGGAACUGCCUUUCAUACUGGCAAUCUUGAGUACGGGAGAGGUGAGUGGAACUCCUAGUGUAGAGGUGAAAUUCGUAGAUAUUAGGAAGAACACCAGUGGCGAAGUCGGCUCACUGGCCCGGAACUGACGCUGAGGUACGAAAGCGUGGGGAGCAAACAGGAUUAGAUACCCCAGUAGUCUAC